rnacentral:lncRNA from 1 species
GUCACGCUGAAUAUCCCUGAGAACUACAUUAAGGGUACAUGUGUCUGUGGAGUGCUCAGUCAGCUGCACGUUAAUUUCACGAGCAGGCUGUUCCAUUGAUCGGAUCAACUGGAACCCUCGUCAUCGUAAGCGAUGGAGUGCCAACAAUAUGCAAUAUGUGUAUGU